AAAACGGCCCUUUUCAGGGCCACCAAUUAUAUCUCAUAACAUUGAAU
rfam:Acromyrmex echinatior unplaced genomic scaffold scaffold140, whole genome shotgun sequence.